rnacentral:rRNA from 1 species
UACGAGUGCCCCGAGCGUUAUCCGGAAUUACUGGGCGUAAAGAGUGUGUAGGCGGUGUUCUAAGUUUGUCGUGAAAUCUCCCGGCUUAACUGGGAGGGUGCGGCGAAAACUGGAAUGCUAGAGGAUGGGAGAGGUAAGCGGAAUUCCUGGUGUAGCGGUGAAAUGCGUAGAUAUCAGGAGGAACACCUGUGGUGUAGACAGCUUACUGGACCAUUUCUGACGCUGAGACACGAAAGCGUGGGUAGCAAACAGG